GACGAACGCUGGCGGCGUGUUUAACACAUGCAAGUCGAACGAUGAAGCCGGAGCUUGCUCUGGUGAAUUAGUGGCGAACGGGUGAGUAACACGUGAGUAACCUGCCCUUGACUCUGGGAUAACUGCGGGAAACUGUAGCUAAUACCGGAUACGACCCUCGGAGGCAUCUCCUGGGGGUGGAAAGAAUUUCGGUCAAGGAUGGACUCGCGGCCUAUCAGCUAGUUGGUGAGGCAAAGGCUCACCAAGGCGACGACGGGUAGCCGGCCUGAGAGGGUGACCGGCCACACUGGGACUGAGACACGGCCCAGACUCCUACGGGAGGCAGCAGUGGGGAAUAUUGCACAAUGGGCGCAAGCCUGAUGCAGCAACGCCGCGUGAGGGAUGACGGCCUUCGGGUUGUAAACCUCUUUUAGCAGGGAAGAAGCGAAAGUGACGGUACCUGCAGAAAAAGCACCGGCUAACUACGUGCCAGCAGCCGCGGUAA
rnacentral:rRNA from 1 species